UAGGGAAUCUUCCGCAAUGGGCGAAAGCCUGACGGAGCAACGCCGCGUGAGUGAUGAAGGUCUUCGGAUCGUAAAACUCUGUUAUUAGGGAAGAACAAAUGUGUAAGUAACUAUGCACGUCUUGACGGUACCUAAUCAGAAAGCCACGGCUAACUACGUGCCAGCAGCCGCGGUAAUACGUAGGUGGCAAGCGUUAUCCGGAAUUAUUGGGCGUAAAGCGCGCGUAGGCGGUUUUUUAAGUCUGAUGUGAAAGCCCACGGCUCAACCGUGGAGGGUCAUUGGAAACUGGAAAACUUGAGUGCAGAAGAGGAAAGGGGAAUUCCAUGUGUAGCGGUGAAAUGCGCAGAGAUAUGGGGGAACACCAGUGGCGAAGGCGACUUUCUGGUCUGUAACUGACGCUGAUGUGCGAAAGCGUGGGGAUCAAACAGG
rnacentral:rRNA from 1 species